GAAGCUUUAGUUAAUUAAUAAUAUUGGAUUGUCAGAUCAAAGUAACGAGUUAAAAUCUCGUAGGCUUCG
rnacentral:tRNA from 1 species